rnacentral:rRNA from 1 species
GAGUCAUUGGGACUCUGUUAAACCUAAAGGCGCAAUGAAAGUAAAGGUCCGCCUCGCGCGGACCGAGGGAGGAUGGGCCCGUCCCCGGGCGGGCCCCGCACUCCCGGGGCGUCUCGUUCUCAUCGCGAGAAGAGGCGCACCCAGAGCGUACCCGCUGGGACCCGAAAGAUGGUGAACUAUGCCUGGUCAGGACGAAGUCAGGGGAAACCCUGAUGGAGGUCCGUAGCGAUUCUGACGUGCAAAUCGAUCGUCGGAACUGGGUAUAGGGGCGAAAGACUAAUCGAACCUUCUAGUAGCUGGUUCCCUCCGAAGUUUCCCUCAGGAUAGCUGGCGCUCGCCUUUGCGAGUCUCAUUCGGUAAAGCGAAUGAUUAGAGGCAUUGGGGUCGAAACGGCCUCAACCUAUUCUCAAACUUUAAAUGGGUGAGAUCUCCGGCUUGCUUGAAGCGUGAAGCCGCGAGAUAUCGGAUCAGAGUGCCAAGUGGGCCACUUUUGGUAAGCAGAACUG